rnacentral:tRNA from 1 species
GCCUCUGUGAUGGAAUUGGUAGACGUGUCGCGUUGAGGUCGCGGCGCCCGUUUGGGCGUGCCGGUUCGAGUCCGGCCAGAGGCA